GCUCCUGCCUGUGAUUGGCAAGUCUGAAAUCGUUUCGGUGGGGAAACGUAUCGCAUCAAGAACAGGAAGAUUCUUGUUUGGUGCCAGAGCAGCUUGAAAUCUGGUCCAGAAUAUUUUAUCAAAAAGAAAAAAAAAAAAAAAAAAAAAAAGCUCUGACUUGGGAUUCUCUCUUCUGAGCAAGACAAUUGCAAUCUGCUUCAAGCUUUAGAGCUAAUGGUACCACCCACUGAGUCUCCUUUUGGACCUAUGAAUAGGGACAAUUCUCACAGUUUUAAAGUGGCCCCAUCAUGUCAAGCUACUAGAGGCAGCUGGGCCACACCCUCCUGGGAGGGACUUCUGAAUUCCCAAUGGCUGUUUUCAUCUGACUUUUGGAAAGUUUCCUGCAUCCAGGUUCCAGCCUUGAGUUCCUGCCUGACUUUCUGGAUUAUAAGAUGAAAUGGAGGAACAAGAUGAACCAGAGAUCUGGCAAGAGGCAUCUAAUAGUACCAUCGAGGACAGUGGCUCCCUACAGACCCUUAGCCCACCUCUGAUACAUUCACGCUCAUGGUGUUUUCCACAGAUGUCUCACAUUUCACAAACCUGUCAAUUCCAGUACAUAUCAUCUUGAACUAUG